CCUUAUACCUACCCCAUCCCUCAAAGGGCUGCCUCUAAUCGGAAUCAAACCUGAUACACCUCGGAUCUGACUUGCGUGAUGUGGCAUUGCCGAAUAGGAGCUCAACACAGACCAGCCACAAAACCCAUCACCUCGGCCAACCAGUUCUUGCCAUGUGGCCAACCUAAGGGCAUGCAAAGAAAAUCAAAUCAACCUCCACUCGGUGAUAGUUGGACUAUAAUAGAGGAAUGACCUCCACAAUUGUGAGAUCUGUAUCUUAUCGUAUCCUAACAAGCUUAAGGACGUGCGAAACAAUUAUCCCCAACCUCCCUCGCAUGUCUUUAACGCCUUGGGAUCCAACCCUCAUCUACAUAAACUCUUCCCUAGGGAACCUCCAGAUAAGUCCACACAAGUCGAACCAAGUCUAGACAAGACUUCUUAAGCCUAAAUCCUUCCGAAUACCCUCAAAUUCUUGGAAGCUCUCUAAAGUUCUACCGAGUCUCUAGAAAAAUCUUUGAGUCACCGAGUCUCCACUCAUGAGCUCAGAGUACCCUACCAGUGGUGAUCCACCCAAAGAGUCUCUCAUAGUUCUAGACUGAGUGACAUCCCCUUGAGACUAUAUCUCUCCCAAACAUAGACCGUUCCUCUCUCCCACAAACUCAAGACUUCCACUCACAUGCACCGCUGAUUUGAUCUCAUCUCCUUCUACUUCUUUUAGAACUUCCUUUGUUCCAUCGAGGUAGACUAACGCGUCAGAGGGUCCUCACCAGAAAACCCUCGGCAAGCGGACUUCCUUUGCUUUUGGUGUUUCAGCAUACUCAAAGAGGUUGAAACAUAGUUUUGAACCUCUUCGAUAGCUUUCCGACUUUCAGCCAGCUCCUAGAGUCCCUAGGUUGCCACUUACCCCCUCUUAUCCUUAGCUUAAGCUCAUCGGCCUGAGCUAAAUCGAUCCUCGGUGGCAACAAAACCCAUACCCUUAGCCUAAGUGGCAGGGAGUAAUAUUAUUCGAGUGCUUGGUGGGAUAGGGUUUUUCCUUGAAAGAACACCAUCACAUAAGUUUAGGUUGAAGUUCUUGACCUUGAGAGGGCUUGUGUUUCACUUUGUGUAGGUUUCCUCCAUGCCCCACGCAGAACAACAAAAGACAACCUCCACUCGGUGAUAGUUGGACUAUAAUAGCAGAAUGACCUCCACAAUUGUGAGAUCUGUAUCUUAUCAUAUCCCAACAAGCUCAAGAACGUGCGAAACAGUUAUCCCCAACCUCCCUCGCAUGUUCUUAAUGCCUUGGGAUCCAACCCUCAUCUACAUAAACUCUUUCCUAGGGAACCUCUAGAUAAGUCCACACAAGUCGAAUCAAGUCUAGACAAGACUUCCUAAGCCUAAAUCCUUCCGAAUACCCUCAAAUUCUUGGAAGCUCUCUAAAGUUCUAUCGAGUCUCUAGAAAAAUCUUUGAGUCACCGAGUCUCCACUCAUGAGCUCAGAGUACCCUACCAGUGGUGAUCCACCCAAAGGGUCUCUCAUAGUUCUAGACUGAGUGACAUCCCCUUGAGACUAUAUCUCUCCUAAACAUAGACCGUUCCUCUCUCCCACAGACUCAAGACUUCCACUCACAUGCACCGUUGAUUUGAUCUCAUCUCCUUCUACUUCUUUUAGAACUUCCUUUGUUCCAUCGAGGUAGACUAAUGCAUCAGAGGGUCCUCACUAGAAAACCCUCGGCAAGCGGACUUCCUUUGCUUUUGGUGUUUCAGCAUGCUCAAAAAAGUUGAAACAUAGUUUUGGACCUCUCCGACAGCUUUCCGACUUUCAACCAGCUCCUAGAGUCCCUAGGUUGCCAAUUACCGCCUCUUAUCCUUAGCUUCAGCUCAUCGGCCUGAGCUAAAUCGACCCUCGGUGGCAACAAAACCCAUACCCCUAGCCUAAGUAGCAGGGAGUAAUAUUAUUCGAGUGCUUGGUGGGAUAGGGUUUCCCCUUGAAAGAACACCAUCACAUAAGUUUAGGUUGAAGUUCUUGACCUUGAGAGGGCUUGUGUUUCACUUUGUGUAGGUUUCCUCCAUGCCCCACACAAAACAACAAAAGACAACCUACAAAUCAACAAUAUUAGCUAUUUUAUUCAAAAGCAAAUUAAAGCAAAAUUCUGCCAAAAUAACCCCACUCCAACAACCAAGACUAGGAAUUUGAAAAUAAUACAUUAAACAAAAUAGAGAUAAGCAAAAUAGUGCAAAGCCCAAGGGUAAUGAAAGGAAACCAGAAAAAUCCUAUCUUGAUCUUAGCCAAGCUUAUCCCUUUAAAUAUAUAUAAGAAAGUCAUCCAAUAUGGACUGACUCCAAGAUAGAGCUUUGCAGGAAGCAAUAACCCCCAAUAUCACUCCAAAUGUCCCCAUCCCACAGUUUUCCCAAAUGCAGUUUUACAAGCAUGACCAUAAU
rnacentral:lncRNA from 1 species